rnacentral:snRNA from 1 species
GUUUGAGGGGAUGUGUAAGG